rnacentral:lncRNA from 1 species
CCUCCCCUCAUGGGGCCAGUGUCCCCAGGCCUGUCUGUCUAGGCCUGGCUGUCAAAGAAAGGUUCCAGUCUCUUCCUCCCCAUGUGCCCUGCUUUGCCAGGAGGGUCAGUCCUGGCUGGGCUUCCCUAUCUCCUGGCAGUCGUGGGAAAGACAGAGGCAUCUUCCUCACUGGUGGAGUGAGGCACGAAUCUAAAGGGGAU